rnacentral:lncRNA from 1 species
UAUACAUUCAUAAACCCAAGUUCAAAGGACAGAGGCUUUGGGCCACUCACAGGCUCUCGUCAACCUCUUGGGACUGGGAUGCAAGGGGAGCUUGCCCAUUCCCAGCCCUCCCAGAGACCAAAGUGACCUUCUCCAGGAGUCCGUACUACAGCUGUUCUCAGCUGUAACAGUUGGUUCACCUGCCCUGCUCUGUGUCCCUGAGCCAUAAACCUACAGACAAUCUGCCUCCUGACCCUAGGCUCAGGCUGCCUGCCCCUGUAGCAAUGGGCAGCUCAUCAGGGCCAAAGUUUUCAUUGUAUUUACAUUUCCCCAAAGAUUGAAAGGAGCUGGUUAUAAAAGCAAAAGAAAGUUGAGGCAUUCAACCUCCCUGGGCCUUUUAAGACAAUAGACCUAUUAGUCUAUGUGAAUUUCCAGGAAGAAGCCUCUAAUUAAAGCUUAUGGCCUCUCAGCUGCCAUUGGCUGGCGAUGUGGCUUGUCCUUCCUGUUCAUUAAAGCAGAAGGGCAUCCUAGCGGUGUUGUGGUCUCACAGAGCCUAUGCCCACCAUCCGGCCCACUCUCCCAGUGAGCUCGGGAGGAUCCCAGUGCCACCAUGACAGCCCCAUCACUCCCUUGAGUGUGACUUGGGAUCCAGACAGGAUAUUACACCCGAGUUCUUGAAGGAAAUGAUAAGACUCUGGUCUACCAGUUGCAUAAAUGAUUAACGACGGGUAAUUAGUCGGUGUUUGUUAAGCCUUUUAUAGACACAAAAUGCUGGCUAAGAGCUAAAUGAAGAAGCAAAAGCAGCAAAAGCCAGAAGAUUUUACAUCCACCCACAUGCUGCUCACAGAACCCCAGAAUGUUGGAGCAGAGGGAAGAGGGAACCCAGAGAUCAUCUGCCCUGUGGUUUGCAAACUGUGCAUUGCGGGGCUUUCAGGGCAGCUGCUGAGAAACUGCCUCCCAGUGUUUCUUCCCCAAACAAAUCGCAACCAAAGUUCCACAGAAACUCACAUCAUAACUUGAAAACCGAGACUAUCAAAAACUGCAAAAUAACUAUGAGUAAAGAGAGAAAAAGCAUCACAAGCCCUCUUGUGUGCCCAGUCUAUGCCCAUCAGCCAGCAAACAGCUCCCUCAGCCCAGUCACCAUCCUCUACUCUGGAAGUGCCCAAGGCCCUGAGAUGAGGAGCUCUGCCUGCAGUCCCAGAAGAAAGGAAGUAAAAUGUCUCCCAGAUGAUAAAAGUCGCAAAUGAACCUAUCUACAGAAAAGAAACUCAUGGACUUGGAGAACUUGUGGUUGCCACGAGGGAGGAGAAGGACUGGGAGUUUGGGGUUAGUAGAUACAAACUACUGCAUUUGGAGUGGAUAAGAGAUGAGAUCCUGCUGUAUAGCACAGGGAACUAUAUCUAGUCACUUUGAUGGAACAUGAUGGAGGACAAUGUGAAAAAAAGAAUGUAUAUAUGUAUAACUGGGUCACUUUGCUGUAUAGCAGAAACUGACAGAACAUUGUAAAUCUAAUAUAAUGGAAAAAAUAAAAAUCUUAAAAAAAAAUCACACCCCUAAAAAAAAAAAAAAGGAAGCUUUAGACCAAUGCACAGGGGACUUUGCAAUGUGAUAUUUGGUUAGUCUGGCCCUGCCCUGGUACCUACAUUUUAGGAACGGAGCCUUUCUCCGCCUCAUUUGGUAGCUUAGGGCCCCACUGCUGAUGCCUUGUGUCGCCUGGGUUCUGCCCACUAUUCCGCCCAUGCACGGUUUGCAUUGAGAGGAUCCCUUCCCUUUGGCACCAGCUUUCCAGUGGGCAGCCCCAGUACCUCCUCUUACCCAUGUCCCUCUUUCCCCUGGAAUGGUGCUUCACCAACAUGCUCUCUGAUGUUCCCCAAAUGGCACAAGGGUGAAGUCACCUCCCAGAAUCUGGGGGAUCACUAUGAGCAGGAAAGGUCUUUUAUCUUAAAUUUAUGUGCAGUUUGCAUUGGAGCCCAAUAUAUAGCCCUGCUAGUUUUAAUGCACAUGUCCCCCACACCAGUCUGGGAAGAUGUACCAUGUUGAUUCUGUGCACUUGGACAUUCCCAGUACGUCACUGCACAUCUCCGAGGUACCAGUGUCCAAGCGUGAGAAGAGCUGGCCCUGCUUUCCCUCAAGCCACCUGUUGGAUCCUGACUCCUCCCAAUUUGCCCAGAACCAAAUGCUUUCAGCCACUUCCUGUCUGGACAAGUCUCUGGAGGCAGGGAGGUCAGCCAAGUUGGGACACAGCAUUGAGAGCAGAGUCAUCUUGUCCUCCUGGAGGGGACACCCUAAGACUUCUCGGAGCACCUGAGUUGUACGGUUCCCUGCUGUUUUUCUGGAUGACUCAUACCAAUUGUUUAUAUCAUGGUUAAUUAAGAGUUGUCAAGGCCACCGGAUCAAUACUGUCACGAGACACUCUUUUGGCGUAGGGGAGAGGAGACCUGACCUUGUGUGAUUUCCCACUAGGUUCCAGGCACUGUGUCACAUAGGCACACACGCUAACAUAUUUAAUUCCCACAUGGACCCUGAGCCAGGUACCCUCGUCUUCCUUUCACACAUGAAUGAUCUCGUACUACGAGAUGUAACAGACACAUAGCACUCAAACAACUCAGGACCCAAACUCACAUUUUCCUCAUCCAAAUCCUAGCCUCCCUCCACUAUUCAUGAUGUGGUGUCCCUGUUCUUUUGGUUGGAUCUUUUUGCCCAUUUCACUUGUUACGGCCUCUACCAAAGAAGGAAAGAAAUAGAGGAGAUGAGGUUGGAAUAUACUCACUUUGCUGUUGGCUGUUUCAGGAAGAUGGAGAGGAGGCAGGAGAGCUGGUGGAUUGAAACCAAUGUCUAGGUGACCUUUCUCUUAUCAUCUCCAGAAUUAAUUAUGUGAGUCUACCCCGUUUGCCUCACAGCUACAGGUUUUAGGAAUGGCUACAAAGGGGCCUUAGAGACCCGAAGAGAGAAAACAGCCUCACCAAACCCCUCAUUCAUCACUGUCUGGAGUGAUAGUCUCAUUAAUAACUGGGGCUUAAUCCUCCACAUUCAAAGAGACUCCCAUUACCCAAAACAAUAAUUUUUUAAAUUACCCAGGCAGAGUGGCAAUUGCACAUUGAAUACUAAGGAUGAUUUAAAACUAAUAAAUACUUUUGGAAAUUCCUUGAACAUUUUAAUGAAUUAAAAGUUAUGAAAUAUUUAUAAGCAGUAACAACACCAUUUAGUACCAUUAAUAAAAUAAAUACAUUAGUCAGAGAAUGAAAUUCAUUACUGUUUUACUACUAGACAUUGAUGUCAAUGACUGAAUAUUGCUCCAAAUUACUUGUAAAAUAGACCAAUUAUUUUAGUGUGAUUAAUCUUUUCAAUUAUUUCUUUUAUGUAGUUGUAAUUUGAAAGUAAUUUUCUUUGGGGAGUACAAUGACCUCAGCACACUGGUUCCUUAUUUAUUUAUAUUGAAAAACCUUUUGUGUCUGCUCCCAUUUCUGGAUGGUUUUCAAUGGUCAAAUAUUUAAAAUAGUAGCCCAGGCAAUCAUUACUGUUCCUAAGCACUUUGUGGGGCAUUUCUAAUUGGCUUGAUUAGUGAUUAUGAAUGAGCCAUUCCAAAGCAGGAAGUCUCUGCCAACAGCAGCUAUACAUCAGUAGGGAAAGGAGGGGCAGACAAAGUUCUCUUCUGGUUCCACCAGCUGGGGGCCUGGCUCUUUUAGACUCCAUGCUUCAUCUGCUUGAGGAGGCAGCGUGAUAAGCAGGUCAAAGGAUUUUAGGUCUUCCCUGGGCCUCAAGCAUCCCCACAGGAUUAAAUGGUCCUUCUCCUUUGUGGGGCACAGUGGAUUCUGUGCACCUGAUCACAAAGGAGAAAAAUGACUUCGUUGGAGACAUAAGCAUAGAGAAGCAGCUGCCUGUGAAAUCAGAAGGUAGAUAUGGGCUGUCAGGGUCUCUGUGGAUAAUGGGGUAAGCCCUCCCUUGGCACAAUGGUUCAGACAAGGCCCAGAGUCAAAGUGAAAGAUAGAUUCAAUUUAUAUGCCAAUUAGGGAACUAUUAGGGAAUAUUAAGGAAUUAUUACUAAAAUUAUUAUGUGUGAUAAUGAUAUUGUGGUUCUUUUAAAGAGUCUUUAUUUUUAGAGAUGUAUACUAAAAUGUUUAAGAAAGGUGAUAUAAUGUCUGGGAUUUAGAAAGCAAUCUAGGAUGGUAAGAGAGCAGUGGAAUGCCACAGCCAGCUCGUACUUGUUGGCAAGAGCUGACUGUCAAAUUUUCAGGAAUUUUGUGAGCUAGUCGGUAAAGAGUUAUUGUUGAAAAUUAAAUCCUAUAAACUUACAGUUAAACAAAAUAUAUUAUUUAAAAGGUAAUAUAUUAAAACAAAAAACAACAACAAAAUAAAGUGAAAGGUGGGUGUAAACCUGCAAAUAUACAACAUACCCUGGGCUAGUUGUGCAGAAUUAUUCAGCCCUGGUUCCAGAAUAAGGACAGUCAGGGGACAUGGGACAGAGAGGGCGAUGGUGUUUAUUGCGCCAAGCACUGUGCUAGGGGCUCUACACAUGAUAUCACUUUUCAUUUCCCAACAAACCUAUAAUUGUGUAUUAUUAGUCCCAUUUACUUAUGAGACCAAAUCGAAACUCAUGGUUUAAAAAAAACCCACAAAACUCUUCUGUGCUCAAAAGAGUAGUAAGUGAUGGAGCUGGAAUUCCACACUCGUUCUGUCUGAUGCCAAAGCUUGUACUCUCUCUCCUAGGUUGUAACAAGAAAACCUUUAUUCAGUGCUUACCAUGGGGAAAGCGCUGUUAGUUGCUGAUUGGGAUGCAGAGAUUUUAAAAAAAAGACAGUCUUUAAAAAAAAAAAUAGAACCUAGCAUCUAUUGAGGAAGACACAUAAAUAACUCUGGAAAGAAGUAGACUGUUCUAAAACAGAAAUAUAUAGAAAUAGAAUCCUGAGCUGGGACUUCUUAGAGAAGAUAGCAUUUUAGCUGAGAUUUGAAAGAUGUGGGGAACUCGGAGAGGCAGCUAUUGGGAAUGGGAGAGGGGGCAAAGCUGGAACAAAAGCUUGAGGGGAGAAGGCCUUUGGGGAAAUGGGAGUGGAUCUUCGUGCCGAGAUGAAAUCCCCACUUUGACACUUAUCUUUUAAAUGGCACAGUCCACUGAUAAAUUAUGGGCAAGAGGUUUUAGGAAGAGGGAGUUAAGGAGGUGAGUGUUUGGUAAAUGGGGUUCACCCUCCACCUGGAGGAUGCACACAACGAGGACCAGGUGAGG